GACCUUUGGCCAAACGCUGCCUGCUUCACACACGCAGGCCAAGGUUUUGUUGCAAUCUGCUGGGAAAGGAGAGACUGGCAACAUUAUGACAUCACGCUGACUGUGCCUGCUGGGAGAGGAGAGACUGGCAACAUUAUGACAUCACGCUGACUGUGCCUGCUGGGAGAGGAGAGACUGGCAACAUUAUGACAUCACGCUGACUGUGCCUGCUGGGAGAGGAGAGACUGGCAACAUUAUGACAUCACGCUGACUGUGCCUGCUGGGAGAGGAGAGACUGGCAACAUUAUGACAUCACGCUGACUGUGCCUGCUGGGAGAGGAGAGACUGGCAACAUUAUGACAUCACGCUGACUGUGCCUGCUGGGAGAGGAGAGACUGGCAACAUUAUGACAUCACGCUGACUGUGCCUGCUGGGAGAGGAGAGACUGGCAACAUUAUGACAUCCAACUGAUGGCUGGUGCAGCUCAGCUGAAAGCCAAAGGGGCCCUCCCACAACUGCUGCUGAGAGACUGGCCCCCAGUCCUCACAAGAUGCCAACUGCUUUCAUGAGAAAGCCCCUGCCCUCAACUCAGAUGAACUUAAACUCAGUUGGGAUGUCAUAUUUUAUCUAACUUUGUGACAGGUGCAACCAUGUACAUCUGAACAGUCAACUUGAAUUGAGCAACGACCUUGAGAGAGAAUGACAUUUACCCCCAAAAAUAAAAUUGGGUUAACCGAA